CAAAUGAGACCGAUACACCAUCACUUCAUUCAGUUGAAUCAUCGUCAGGCACACAGCCACCAGACAGCGAUGGUCCUUUCUUUCCACCUAAAAGAGCUCGUUCUGAUGACCAUUUGCAAGAAGCUAAGGAGCUUGUGAAAAGUGUUUUAGAAAAGCCUCUGCUGGGAAGAAGAUAUUUCAGAACACUGCCACACCAGUCAAGGAGACUGGGACAUUGAUAUGUCUUCCCUGUUAUUGCUGGUCUAUCUCCUGCCACCACCUUCUAGCAGAAAUUAGAAGUUUGUCAAGAUCAGUGUGCGUGAAGCUUUGGAUCGCGUAGUAAGAUUU